UGGAUCCAGACUUUGAUUAUGGCUCAGGAUGAACGCUAGCUACAGGCUUAACACAUGCAGGUCGAGGGGAAACGACAUCGAAAGCUUGCUUUUGAUGGGCGUCGACCGGCGCACGGGUGAGUAACGCGUAUCCAACCUGCCCACCACUUGGGGAUAACCUUGCGAAGGUAAGACUAAUACCCAAUGAUAUCUCUAGAAGACAUCUGAAGGAGAUUAAAGAUUUAUCGGUGAUGGAUGGGGAUGCGUCUGAUUAGCUUGUUGGCGGGGUAACGGCCCACCAAGGCAACGAUCAGUAGGGGUUCUGAGAGGAAGGUCCCCCACAUUGGAACUGAGACACGGUCCAAACUCCUACGGGAGGCAGCAGUGAGGAAUAUUGGUCAAUGGACGAGAGUCUGAACCAGCCAAGUAGCGUGCAGGAUGACGGCCCUAUGGGUUGUAAACUGCUUUUAUAAGGGAAUAAAGUGAGUCUCGUGAGACUUUUUGCAUGUACCUUAUGAAUAAGGACCGGCUAAUUCCGUGCCAGCAGCCGCGGUAAUACGGAAGGUCCGGGCGUUAUCCGGAUUUAUUGGGUUUAAAGGGAGCGUAGGCCGGAGAUUAAGCGUGUUGUGAAAUGUAGACGCUCAACGUCUGCACUGCAGCGCGAACUGGUUUCCUUGAGUACGCACAAAGUGGGCGGAAUUCGUGGUGUAGCGGUGAAAUGCUUAGAUAUCACGAAGAACUCCGAUUGCGAAGGCAGCUCACUGGAGCGCAACUGACGCUGGAGCUCGAAAGUGCGGGUAUCGAACAGGAUUAGAUACCCUGGUAGUCCGCACGGUAAACGAUGGAUGCCCGCUGUUGGUCUGAAUAGGUCAGCGGCCAAGCGAAAGCAUUAAGCAUCCCACCUGGGGAGUACGCCGGCAACGGUGCAACUCAAAGGAAUUGACGGA
rnacentral:rRNA from 1 species